UUCUUGCCGAUGAAGGAUACUGAGGUGGCGGCACGGCGUUCGACUGAGGAGCACCUGGGGCUCCCGGUGGUAAAGACACGGAGGUCAGGGUAGCCCGCAGUUGGCUCGACGGAGACGGGACAGUUCCAGGUCCACUUACUGCGACAGUGGCGGGUUUUGGGACUAUUUUCGUCGGCAAACUCAUUGCAAAAAAACAAAACAAUACACUAAUAAAUACUGAUACAAAAUAUAUCUAGCUUGCAUAAAUAUAGCUAGCAAGCGUUUAAUAUUAUUGAAGCAGGCCGCAAAUCCUUUUCCCGACAGGGCUAGCUAUUAGCAACGCAGAAAAGCUUUUUUUCAUGGAAAGUCGCUGUUCGGGUCUAUGGUGUUAUUCAUGGGGACGGUGGGAGGUUUGCCUCCCUUGCCCGUCCAGGACCUCUACAGAUCCGGUUCAGUUCUUCCGAGCACUGUCACCGGUGUCUUUCCUCCUUCGAUAAUUUAACAUUUGUUAUCAACAACUGAUUUUUCUAUAGCUAGCUGAUCAUUUUUCCACGGAGAUGAGAGACUUCGUUAACAUGGCGUUGUGGCCGCUUCCAGUCCGGCAGGACAGACGAUUCGACAAUUCUCGUCCAAUUACGGAAGCGCUGCUCAGCAUCCUGGAACUUCUGGUCCAGGAUGGACACCAUCUUCCUCAGCACCUUCAUGAUCAUGUAGUUGUUCAGGACGCUGCACAGAGGACCUGAGCCCUAGGACUAUGCCCCAGGACUACCUGACAUGAUGACUCUGUGCUGUCC